UACGUAGGGUGCGAGCGUUAAUCGGAUUUACUGGGCGUAAAGCGUGCGCAGGCGGCCCGUUAAGUCAGGUGUGAAAUCCCUGGGCUCAACCUAGGAAUUGCGCUUGAGACUGGCGGGCUCGAGUACGGUAGAGGGGGGUGGAAUUCCUGGUGUAGCAGUGAAAUGCGUAGAGAUCAGGAGGAACACCGGUGGCGAAGGUAGCCCCCUGGGCCUGUACUGACGCUCAUGCGCGAAAGCGUGGGGAGCAAACAGG
rnacentral:rRNA from 1 species